UAGGGAAUCUCCCACAAUGGGCGAAAGCCUGAUGGAGCAACGCCGCGUGCGUGAUGAAGGGUUUCGGCUCGUAAAACACUGUUGUAAGAGAAGAAUGACAUUGAGAGUAACUGUUCAAUGUGUGACGGUAUCUUACCAGAAAGGAACGGCUAAAUACGUGCCAA
rnacentral:rRNA from 1 species